UGGGGUCUGUUUUGGCUGCCUCAUCAGCAUCAGUGAACUGCGUCCCUGCGAGAUUUGAUACAAUUUAAUUAACCUAAUUAAAAGCUCUGAUUGCAGAGAUGAUUGGGGUAGCGCCAGCAGCGACUGCAUAUUUAUAAUGAGCUGCAAGGUGUGGGACCGCAGCCAAACGCCACGCAUCCUAAUGAGCGGGAGCCGGGAGCCAGGGAGCGGGAGA
rnacentral:lncRNA from 10 species